rnacentral:rRNA from 1 species
GACGAACGCUGGCGGCGUGCUUAACACAUGCAAGUCGAACGGUGAAGCGCUUGCCUUUUUGGUGGGUGUGGAUGAGUGGCGAACGGGUGAGUAACACGUGAGUAACCUGCCCUCUUCUUCUGGAUAACCUCAUGAAAGUGGGGCUAAUACGGGGUAUUCCGGGUCUGUCGCAUGGCGGGUUUGGGAAAGAUUGCGCCUUUGGGUGUUUUCGGUGGGGGAUGGGCUCGCGGCCUAUCAGCUUGUUGGUGGGGUGAUGGCCUACCAAGGCGGUGCCGGGUAGCCGGCCUGAGAGGGUGGACGGCCACACUGGGGCUGAGACACGGCCCAGACUCCUGCGGGAGGCAGCAGUGGGGAAUAUUGCACAAUGGGCGCAAGCCUGAUGCAGCGGCGCCGCGUGAGGGAUGGAGGCCUUCGGGUUGUGAACCUCUUUCGCCAGUGAAGCAGGCCUGCUCCUGUGUGGGUGGGUUGACGGUAGCUGGAUAAGAAGCGCCGGCUAACUACGUG